AACACAUGCAAGUCGGACGGAGUUAGUUGGUAGCACAAAGAGCUCAUAAGUUCAUGGUUCAUAGCAAAGAAUGGGUANAGGUUUUCAGCUAUGAAUUAUCGGCUAAGAGCCAUGAGCUUUAUGUGCUAUCAGCUAACUUAGUGGCGGACGGGUGAGUAACACGUUUGUAACCUACCUUUGAGCGGGGGACAACUCAGGGAAACUUGAGCUAAUACCCCAUAAGACCACGGGCUGGGAGGCUUGUGGUAAAAGUAGCGAUACACUCAUUGAUGGGCCUGCGGCCUAUCAGGUAGUUGGUGAGGUAACGGCUCACCAAGCCUAAGACGGGUAGCCGGGCUGAGAGGUUGAACGGCCACACUGGAACUGAGAUACCGUCCACACUCCUACGGGAAGCACCAGUGGGGAAUAUUGCGCAAUAGGGGAAACCCUGACGCACCACGCCGCGUGGAAGAUGAAGGUCUCCGGUUGUUAACUCCUUU
rnacentral:rRNA from 1 species